UAUGAUGGGAUAGAACUGGAAUGAGC
rnacentral:piRNA from 1 species